rnacentral:rRNA from 1 species
UCUAGUGACGAUAGCGAAGAGGUCACACCCGUUCCCAUACCGAACACGGAAGUUAAGCUCUUCAGCGCCAAUGGUAGUUGGGGGCUUCCCCCUGCAAGAGUAGGACGUUGUUAGGC